UCGUCCUAUCUGUAUAAUAGGAUUAUACUGCCGUCCUCUGUAUAAUAGGGCUAUCCAGCAUUGGUGGAUUGUGGGAAAUGUCGGACUUAUGGUGCUUAGGUGGUAUUUUUAUUGCUACAGACAAUUAGAGCUCCUGAGAAGUAGAGGAUGUUGUUGAUUCAACGUGCACUUGAACACCCUCUAACAGCGGAAUCUGAAAAGGUAAGCGCCCUAGGUAAAAGUGGACUUGUCUGCUUUUUUUAUGGGUAAACUGGAUGUAUCUGAUACUCUUGUCAGUUGUCGCAUAAAUGCUGUGCAGGUUUGAAUACUUGGAGCACUCAUCUAGUUUUUUGAGCAUUUACAGCCAAUUUGCUCUUUAGCAAACCUCAGACAAAUUCUAACAAGAAAAAAUCGUAUUCAGUGUGCCCUAACAAAUGUGAACCUCACUCCUUAGGAAUGAAGGGCACAUACUGUCGUCCUGUCUGUAUCCGUAAAUUAUGCCAUUUCCAGAUUCUUACUUCAUACUUCAUGGUACGACCACCUAAGAAUCAAAGGGUUGGCUCUUGUUUUCUUUUAUUUACAAGCCUCUAAUGAAAUUUUAGAAUGUUCCCAAAAGGUGUACUUAAAUUAAGAGUUGUGAGUGGAUGUACUUAGAAUUCUCAGGCUUCAAAUUGCAUCCCAGAGGUCCGCAUCUUAGAUGCAAAAUAAUAAGUUAAGAAAAUUGUUCAUGGAAUUAUCCUGGAGACUAGUGGAGUCGACCUGGAGCCAACCUCGGCAAAACUUAAUUAUGUCCGUUGCAUCCGAUGAUGCUUAUUUGAACCCAUAUAUGAUCCAUCAGAUCACUCUGACUUGCUUGCGUACGUCUUGAGUUCUUGGAACGCUUUCCGGCAACCUUCAUCAAAGCCACCCGCGAGCUGCAAAUUUGGUUUGUUGCAGUUACCUUGGUUAGUUAGUUUGUAGGUAGCAACUCAUAAUGCCAUCCAAAAGUAAUUCAUGAUUGUGGUAGAAUUACCUGAUGUAUUCGGAAGGCAAAGCGGACACCUUGCAGGAGCAGUUCCUCAUCAUUUACAAAUGGAUCUGACUUCAGUGCAUUCAUAAUGCGGUUCAUGUAUUCUUUUGCAAGCUUCAAUGAAGCGGCCUUUAGCUGUUAAGGCAGCAAGAGGAUACUUCAUAUAUUAUAUGUCUAUUAGACAUGAAUUUAUAGCUAAAAGGGUAGUGAGAUUAUUCCAAUUUGUACCACAUAACUCAUAAGUUGGUUUGGAGUUGAAGACGAGUUUGUAAAAUGCACUUAACUAUCUCUUCUCUACUAUAUCAAACUGAUGAAAAAGAUGGAUAUUAGAAGUUUGGGAGUACAUGGUACAUACUUGGCUUAUGAUUCCAGAAUCAAGCAUCCAAUCCCAUGGGAUCAUGAGAUCCUUGUAUCUUCCACUUGCACUGUCCCUUAUUUUUUCAGUAUUGUGAAUACCUUGUUCAAUUCUACAAGGGGAAGUAUGAAUCAUGUCAUAUUGUUGAAAGUUUGACAAUGCAACAGCCUUACUAAAUGCAUGCAGUUCGUCUACUCACUUAUCCUGUAGAGCUUGCAUGCGCUUCAAAGCCAUAGGUGUAGCCACUCUCCUGUCGUCGUGAAAUGAUGAUGCUUCUGCUUCCAGGUUCUUCAGAUCCCGGUAGGUGAAUGCUGCUUCUCUCAUGGCAUCUGCUUUCUUCUCAGGCCAGUUAGGGAAGUGCUUGAGCACUGCCCGUUCGUCUAUCAGGUAUGAUAGUUCCCCAUCUAGCCACUUCACAAACUCUUCAACAUCGGCUAUUUCCUUGUAUGCUGCAUUCUGAACUUCCCUUGCCAGGAAGCUAAUGAAUUCACCCUGAUUUUCUACAUCUGAUUUAAUCUGUUGGAACACAAUCAUAAGGGAAUUUUUUUGGAUUGGUGAGGGAAUUAUUGAUCUGUACAGAAUAAUAGGGAGAAAACAUGGCUCGGAUGUACAUUAAAAGAUUAUUCGUACUAUAAAAAAAAAGAGUUAUAUAACAUUAUCAACUGCAGGAGGGAAACAGAAAAAUCAGAAGAACAUGUCGCAUGCUCUUAAACUAACACAUGGCAUUGCUUUUUGAUGCAUAAAGAAAAGAUAUACUAUAUUGUGGUGUAUUCGUAAGGUUUUAAAGAUGAGUGGAAAAUUUACACAAUAAAAAGUUACUAUUUAUGAAAUGGGAGAGAUGUUUAAAGAAUAGUCUAUCUGUUGAGAUAUUGUCUUUAAUACAACAACGAACUGGUAACUGUCAUGCGGGAGGAAAUAUUGUGCAAUUGACAUAGUACUCAUACUCUUGUUGCUUAUGUUGGUUCAAAAAGAAAAGAAAAAUUGAACUAAGAAAGGAAUUGGCAGCUAAGUAAACUAUAUAUCAUAUGCACAUCUAAAAUUAGAUAGAAAAUCAUAUGUACUUACAGCUAUAACAUAAGCUGAUCUGUUCUCUAUCUCCCCGAUCAUGUCUCGGCUGUUAGUAGCUACUGGAAUUCCCACAGAUCCAGACUUCGCAUCGCUUUUGCCUUCUCUUCUUACUAACAACCGGUACAACUCAACUACCUCUGGCACCCUUUGGACUCCCUUGGUGCUCUUCAGUAAUUUGGAAGGUAGGGGAGGUGGCGGUGGAGGAGGAGGACCCAUGGAUCCUUCCUUUUUUGCCUUGAUGAUCGGUUGGAUGCACGUCGGACUUGGUGGUGGAUUUGGAACCCUUGGUGCUCUUGAUUUCACUGACGGUGUCCUAGAAAAUUGCUGCCUGUUGUAACAUGCCGAGCUGUUGAGAUCCAUGGCUUCCUUCACAUCAUCAUUGUUGUGAACAAACUGUUUUUCCUUGAAGUAGUUGUUGCUGGUGGCAGAAUUCUCCGGCUUCUUCCAGAUUAUCUUUCUAUCAGUAUCCUGCCCUUCAAGUGAGGAGACUUGGCCUUUUAGACGGCUGACUUGAUGCUUCAGUUGCUUGUUCUCCUCUUCCAGAGUGUGGUUCCUCUCGAUCAGGCCAUGGAGCUUGCUUCUCAGAAGUGCAACACAUGCAUCACCCUCCCUCAUCAUCUCUUCUUUGCCAGAGGAGAUGAUCUCUCUGUAUGGUUGUACUGAUUCCUCACGUAUAAUCUAUAUUUGUCUCCUACUUCAUCACUCAUAUAAUUCUGUGGAGCACUAAAGGAGAUGUAAGUGAGCUUCUGUACAAUUCUGUUGUGUCUAGCCAAGAGGAACUUACAUAUGUGCAGGGAAGAACUGGUGGAACAUAAAGUUAGGUAGGAUAGGUGCUGCUGCUAGGCUAAUUACUUGUCCUUCAAGUGAUUGCUAUGCAGUACCUAUCUUCUUUGUGUAACUUCACUCAAGAAAUUCAGUCGUACAAGCUUACGUGUUUCUCUUUUCCUUUUGUGUACGACUAUUUUCCAAUUCUAUCACACAUAAUUUACCGCCGUCUAUGUUCAGUUCACUUGGCUGGUAUAUUUUUUAGAUUUACCUUGAGCUGUCGGUGUGCUAUUUUACACCAACCAAGAGGUAAAGGUUUUUUAUCAUUCUUCUUUCUCUGAAAAAUAUGUCAUUUUCCUUCAUGCUUGGUUUCUUCUGAUUGCGCUUUUGUCCUUUUUGUGAAGUUGUGACAGCAAAAGCCUGAAUACAAGCUUUCUUCUGCCUCAAGCUGUGUAAAAGGAACUCAGAUGGAACUCCUUUACCAGCCCUGGACACCUUUGGCUAAUAAGACCAAGUGAAUAUUUUGAAAAGUAGAGGGACAAGAAGAAACAAAAUAAAGCCAAGCAAAAGAAGGGGAAAAGCAGAUCUGAAUGUGUUUAUCUUUCAAAAUACACAGGUAUUGUUACUCUCCUUGGAACUGUAGCUCCUACUGUAACAAUCCUAUUCCUCACCCAUGUGUUUUGAUUGCUGAAGGUUUCUGGUGAAGCCUUUCCUACCUGUAUCUGAACAGCAUUGGGCAUCUGUUUAUGCCACCAAAUAUAGGCGGUAGCAGAACCCCAAAAACGACAUAUCAGUAGGUUUAGAAAAAGGAGUCCCUACAAAGAAAGAUUCUGGCAAUGUUAUAAAGAAAAUGUAGAAAUAAACUGUUACAGGAUGACAGCAGAUUAAGCUGGCAUCAAAGGUUACUCUGUGUACUCUGAGAUACAGGUACCAUUGUAAAGUCCCUGAUCCGUAGGGAACUGAGGCCAUGUUUAAGGAGUUCAUUGAUUUCGCUGCGUCAGUUUCCAUGCUCGGAUUGGGUGCGAUUUGUGUAGAAUGCGAUCUCAGUACCUGGUUGGUGGAAGUACUGCAUACAUAUAUGCAGUGCGGUGCAUCAACUGCGAGAGAUGCUUUGCAUGGACCCCCUGUGACUCGUUACGCCUAAUGAUGUACCAACAAUUGCACUCAUAAAUGUAAGGAGUGUCUGGGACUGAGUAGUGAUUAUUUUCAAUUAUUCAUACUGUAUAAGCUACAGAAGGUGGACGACAAACUUGGCAAAUAUGGAGAUCAUAUAUGCCGGAUAAUCCCCAGGUAAGCUGUGCUAAUGUGCAAUGCCAACCUAAAAGGCAUUGAUACUUAAUGAUUCACAUAC
rnacentral:lncRNA from 1 species